rnacentral:rRNA from 1 species
CUCAGGAUGAACGCUGGCGGCGUGCUUAAUACAUGCAAGUCGAACGAGAUGCUUUUGUAGCAAUACGAGAGUAUUCUAGUGGCGAACGGGUGAGUAACGCGUUGGUGACCUACCCCAAAGUGUGGGAUAACAGUCCGAAAGGAUUGCUAAUACCGCAUGUGGUCUUCGGAUUUAGAAACCGAUGACUAAAGGAGCAAUUCGCUUUGGGAGGGACCUGCGUCCCAUCAGCUAGUUGGUGAGGUAAUGGCUCACCAAGGCGACGACGGGUAGGGGACCUGAGAGGGUGACCCCCCACAAUGGAACUGAAACACGGUCCAUACACCUACGGGUGGCAGCAGUAGGGAAUAUUGCUCAAUGGGCGAAAGCCUGAAGCAGCAACGCCGCGUGUGCGAUGAAGGCCUUCGGGUCGUAAAGCACUUUUCUGAGAGAUGAGAAAGGACAGUAUCUCAGGAAUAAGUCUCGGCUAACUACGUGCCAGCAGCCGCGGUAAAACGUAGGAGGCAAGCGUUAUCCGGAUUCACUGGGCGUAAAGCGCGUGCAGGCGGUGCGGUAAGUUGGGCGUGAAAUCUCCCGGCUCAACUGGGAGAGGUCGUCCAAUACUACCGUACUUGAGAGCAGAAGAGGAAAAUGGAAUUCCCGGUGUAGUGGUGAAAUGCGUAGAUAUCGGGAGGAACACCAGUGGCGAAGGCGAUUUUCUGGUCUGUUUCUGACGCUCAGACGCGACAGCUAGGGUAGUAAACGGGAUUAGAGACCCCGGUAAUCCUAGCCGUAAACGAUGUGAACUUGGCGUUGGUGGGUUAAACUCCAUCAGUGCCGCAGCAAACGCGAUAAGUUCACCGCCUGGGGACUACGGCCGCAAGGUUAAAACUUAAAG